ACGUUAGCGGCGGACGGGUGAGUAACACGUGGGUAACCUACCUAUAAGACUGGGAUAACUUCGGGAAACCGGAGCUAAUACCGGAUAAUAUUUCGAACCGCAUGGUUCGAUAGUGAAAGAUGGUUUUGCUAUCACUUAUAGAUGGACCUGCGCCGUAUUAGCUAGUUGGUAAGGUAACGGCUUACCGAGGAGACGAUACGUAGCCGACCUGAGAGGGUGAUCGGCCACACUGGAACUGAGACACGGUCCAGACUCCUACGGGAGGCAGCAGUA
rnacentral:rRNA from 1 species